GAUGUGAUGUAAUGGCGGGAAAAAGGUGUCUCUCUGUCUCUGUCUUGCAAGUUUCUGCCUUGCUGUUGGCAGCUGCCAUGAACUGCCGCCCACCAUGCCACCUGCCUUGGAGCCAACUGAGUAUGGACUGAAACCUCCAAGAACUGACUUGUCCUCAGAAAGAGUUGAAGAUCUCUAAACAAGAGGGUGCUACACCUACCUAAGGAAUCCCUGUUUCCCUGGAUAAGAUCACAUGACAGGGAGCUCCUACCACUGCGGUGCUUUCCAUCUUCCCUGGGAGUAGAGCGCAAUCCCAAGGAGCCAGUCGAGGGCACAGUCACUGGAAUUGUGGUCAUCCAGGAAAGACCGAACUGAGCAUGUUUGCAUGGAGGAUGCCCUGGACCUGCGUGUAGGAAGUUGGCCUGUCCGUACUUCCUGUGGUCCCUACGGAGUGACCAUGUGGCGUGGCUUGUUACCAAUUGUAUAUCCUCUUGCAUUCUAAAUUGAGAGUCGACAGCCAUGGAGGAACUCUCUGAAAUGAUUAAUGGUCCUUCUAAAAUAGAAAAUUGAAUUAGGGCUUAGUUAUUUUCAUUUGCAAAAGCUAAUUGAAGCACAUAUUUAUGAAAUUAGACAUGGAGAAGUGAACCACCACCACCCACUCAACCACAACAAGAACGAUUUUUUUCACUUCUGAGACUGGAUAAAAGAGAAAUUAAUAUGCA